AAAAUACUAGUAAAACUACCAUUACACUGCCUUGUCAAGGCAGAAUUGUGGGUGGAAUUCCCGCGUAUUUUG
rnacentral:tRNA from 1 species